rnacentral:rRNA from 1 species
CUGCUGCCUCCCGUAGGAGUCUGGGCCGUGUCUCAGUCCCAAUGUGGCCGUUCACCCUCUCAGGCCGGCUACGCAUCAUCGCCUUGGUGAGCCUCUACCUCUCCAACUAGCUAAUGCGCCGUAAGGCCAUCCCUCUGUGAUGUUCCCCAUCUUUCAUGAACCGAAGAUGUCUUCCGUUCACCUAUCCGGUAUUAGCUCUCGUUUCCCAGAGUUAUCCCAGGCAUAGGGGCAGGUUCCUUACGUCUUA